GACGAACGCUGGCGGCGUGCUUAACACAUGCAAGUCGAACGGAAAGGCCCUGCUUUUGUGGGGUGCUCGAGCGGCGAACGGGUGAGUAACACGUGAGUAACCUGCCCUUGACUUUGGGAUAACUUCAGGAAACUGGGGCUAAUACCGGAUAGGAGCUCCUGCUGCAUGGUGGGGGUUGGAAAGUUUCGGCGGUUGGGGAUGGACUCGCGGCUUAUCAGCUUGUUGGUGGGGUAGUGGCUUACCAAGGGUUUGACGGGUAGCCGGCCUGAGAGGGUGACCGGCCACAUUGGGACUGAGAUACGGCCCAGACUCCUACGGGAGGCAGCAGUGGGGAAUAUUGCACAAUGGGCGGAAGCCUGAUGCAGCAACGCCGCGUGCGGGAUGACGGCCUUCGGGUUGUAAACCGCUUUCGCCUGUGACGAAGCGUGAGUGACGGUAAUGGGUAAAGAAGCACCGGCUAACUACGUGCCAGCCGCCGCGGUAAUAC
rnacentral:rRNA from 1 species